UUGUGAUAUUUUAUUGAUAUUUGUGAAGAAAGGGUACAAAAUCUCCCACUCUGCAAAAAAAUCAUCUGAUCUGUAUCUACAUUGUCUUAUAGUUUACAGGAAAUUUUCACCCCAACCCCUUCAUUUUUUUAGUAACAAAAAACAGACUGAACUGUUUGUUUGUGUUGAAAAGUUUGUUUUGUCAAUUUUGGUCAUACAUUUCAAAGAAUAAUCCUCCUUGCAAAAUUGCUCAUUGGCUAAUAACUCAUGAUUGACAAGUUGUUAGCCAAAGAGCAAGCAGUUCCACAGUCUGACCUCAGCCUCUUUGUCACAUUCAUUUUUGUUGUUUUUAAACCAGGAUUGCAUCUGUGAAACUGCUAAUCACAGAGCACGGCACUUCAGAAACCAAUGGAUGGCAUCACGGUAGCUAUAUCCUCUUUUAUACUUUCUGUGUAUGUAACUAGCUAGCAAAGACGGCGUAGCAUUUAGCUAGAACCAGACAUUCUGCAGCAUUUUGUCUAAAGACAAAUAUAAGCAAAGUGUCCAAAUAAGUGUUUCUCAGAGUAUAUGUAUUUGUAAGUUGAACAUGUGCCUGCAACUGUAAAUGUUAAAAUAUGGCAUCCUCUUUUUUGUAGCUAAGAAUACCUGUAUUAGCUAGCAAUCACAGUUUUAACAUGUAAUUAGAUAAGUUUAAAUUCAUUCAUUGAGCUUUUUAAUGGCAGAAAAAAUAUAUAGUGAAAAAGUAGCUUCCUCAAAACCAAUUUUGUCCUUGAGAAUUUCUGCAGAAGUAAAAUAACUUCUUCCACAGGACGAAAGAGAAUGCUAAUGAGCAUGUGCAGAGUAAGUGUAAUCUCCAGCUUGUUUAUGCUCCGCUACAAUUGCCCCAUUUUACCAAAUGCUCCCGGUCUUCUACCGCUGGUAUUUGGGAUUGUGCUACUGGUCAGUAACAAUACCACAGACAUGUUUAUAAUCUUUGUUGAUAAGAAAAUAAAUGAAAAGGGAUGAGAUAGGCCAGGGGCUGCGUUUUUUUUGGAAGGUCUAACUGAGCAUCUGCAGUGGCUCCUAGGCAUGGCUUAUUUCCUUGGUACCUAAGAGAGAGGAUGACACACAGAGACAGAGGAAAGGGGUAAAGGUCAUGGAAACGAGGGCAAACAGAUGCAUAGUGUUGUGUGGAGUGCAAUAAAAGUAGGCUAUCUUUAGAUUCUGCCAAAACACAGCUGAUGGGUUGUUGUUUUUAAAGCCUCACAGACAUUGGUUCCUGGCCUUUGGAAGUUAUAUGGACUAACUCCCUGGGUCUGCUCUCCACUGAACCAAUAAAAGGCAAGUACACCAGACAACUGUUUCAUGCUCUUUUCCCUUUCCCCUGACCUCCUGUAUCUUCCUAUCUUUCUGAACAUGGCAUAUCUUCACACCCACUCCCUGGGAGAUGGAGGGAUGCUGAAAAUGAAAAGAAAAACAAUUAGUAGCUCUGAUGAGCCCGUGUGAGGUAAUGAAAUUGCGUGUCUCAUUGUAGCGUGUAAUGGAGAGCAGUUUGAAGUUAAUUGAGGGGAGAUAGGACACUGGGCCACUGUCUGCCAGAGUAUUGUAGUAGGGAACAGGAUUUAUCGGGGAGGGAAUCACUGAACCCAGAAAAAAAAAAAAAAAACAAUUCCUUAUCAGACAUCACAAAUGAGAAUUACUUGGCUUUAUCAGACUAGAUAGCAAGAUAAAUUGUUAUCAUAAUUAAAUUCAUAUUCUUUUCAUCUGUUUCUAGGUCAGGUUCAUGGUCACAAAGGGCCUGGCAGAACCACACUGGAGCCAAACAUUUAAGCCAAUCCAUGUUGAAAUUUAGUGCCAAAACCGCAUAUUAUCUUUUUUAAUUUUUAUAUUUUAUCCCUUUUCCUUAAACCAAUAAUAACUAUUAACUAUAUUUGCACACGUCUAUCAGUAAUAGAGAACCUGAGGAGUUGUUUUCAUAGCAUGACCUGACUGGUAAAUCUUCAGAAACAGUGUUGCAGUCUUGGGACUGAUACUCUUGUGGUUUUUAGAAGGAGAUAAAGUGCCACCUUCUGGUGGAAGGGCUGAAGGAUGGCAAUGUUCUGCUCUGUUAACUUGUGUCACCAUUAAUGUGUCUUAAAAGAAUGAGUGUAGGGGUAGAAAACUGCCUUCGCAGAGUUCAAAUAGAGAAAACAAAGCCGUGAAUCCCUGGGCAAGCCAUAACAAAACCUCGGUGCAUAGCAUAGAUCUUAUUUCAACAGUCUUUGAUGCACGUGCACAGUAAAAUCCUGUCAAUAUGAGUCUGUUUUAGAAUUUUCCUGCAUGUCUAAUUAUACAAAUGUUUUGUUUAACUCGCAAAUGAAUAACAACAGACUUGGCUCUUAAACUCUACUGUUUCUUUGCAUGACAGGUUUUUUGCAUGGUGGCCACAUUGCACAUGCUUAGCAGAGAGUCGAGGGUUUAAACAAGAUGUAUAAAUGCCACGAUGCAUAAAGAAAAGCUACGAAGCCCUGAGUCUGUUGCAUGUGAUGGGCGGGGAGUGUUUCUCGUCUCUCAGGCAGCGCUGACAAUUAAACGCAGCUUGCCUACAGUAUUGAUCAUGUCUCCCUGAUAGGCAGACCAGAACCACAGCACCUGUAUUCAUUAAACAACCUGUUUAGCAACCAUGCAGCGGAAGGAGAAGUCUGAGUCUGUUUGCAAAAAGAAAAAAAAAGUGCCACAGGCCACAAAACACCUGGAAGAUUGCACGGAAACUUUUCAACAGAGCGUCACGGAAGGAAGGAACCGACAGAAAGGGGGAAACACUUCAUGACCUUCGCUUAAGAAAAAGGAAAAGAAAAAAAACAGAGCAGUGAGAAGAGUCUUAAAGGGAAAACAGCACCAAAAGAAACAGUCAUGUUAAAUUGGAUGUGUUUAUUGGAAUAAUUAUUGGAAUGAGACAGUUAUUUGUUGCCUUAUUGCUUUAUAAACACUCGUUCGCUUUUGAGGUUUGGGAAUGAAAUGUUGACAAUUCUGACUCGCCCCUGUGAAAUUAAGAAAUGGUUUUGCAACCUAUUCAAUGAAUAUUAAAAAGAAGAUGCAUAUU